GUGCAGGUCUUCCAGCAUGGCCCGGCUAGCGGUAGCCCUGUCCGUUCCUGUAGACUCUGCUAGAUCAGCCCUGGGACGGUUUGAGGCCUCUCUCUGCCCCUCCGGGGGGAGGUUAUAGAAAUCCCGGACACUG